UCGGGAUCGUUGACUGGCUGGCUGGCUGGCUGGCUUUUGUAGAUGCCACGUCGGACACACUAUUGCUAUAACAGCCCGGCACUACAGACCACCGCAGACGAAGCCGCAGCUCGUGGAAGUUAGAUGACACAAUAGGGCUCAUUAAUGACAUCGAAGGGUGGUGAGACAGCCGGGCAAAAACAAGGCUGCGAAAGUCGACUCUGCGUGUCAGCACUGAUAACCUGUAGAGAAGUCCGAAAAGGCAGACGUUUACCAAUGUUUGAAUGAAAAUGUAAAGGAGGUAAGAAGAGAUGCGAGAAAGUAGUUGAAGAUGAUCACAUACAGCAAACGAGUAGGAGGCGCCCAGAUCAGCAGAAGCUCUAUUUGACUCCUCGUCCUAGUCCGAAGGUUACCAAGAUUCUCGGAGAGGGAACAACUUAGCAUGGUGUUCUAUUUUGUCUUCAAUCGACUUCGACGGGCCGAAUAAAAAAUAUACCAUACAUCUAUUUAAAAUGCAGUUUUUGCUGAUUAUUGCAGAAACCCUAUUAGGCGUACCCGUUUGCCUAAUUAAUAGCGGGGCGAUACUUGAGCGUUACUUGAGAGAACUUUUGGUGCGUGUCAAUUUGGAAGUCAAAGCGGCUAAUAAUACAAAGCUAGUUUUGUUUAACUCAUUUUGAGAGAAAACGGCAAAAAUGGCAAAAAAAUAAAGCCAAGAAAAUUUAAGAAAUUCUUGAAUCUUGCGAAUGACUUAGAAACAAGGUCAAUGUGCCAAGUGAGACAGACGAAAUAUUUGGCUUUUCACUCCGUGUGAGUGGUUAUUAGUAAAAUUAAAAAAUACAAAACCUUACGCUAUGGCAAUGUUCCAGUACUAUCAUGAUGAGAUGUUUAUCAUAAUUUUCAUUUAGUUCAAUGACUAUUUUUUAUAAACGAAAUAAAAAAAACCUUUAAGCUUUGGUGAUAUCCCAUGAGCAAAAUCUGUAAGUUUGCUGGCUCUGUCUACUAAGGCCGCUUCUAUUCACGCAUAGGCCCUAGAGGUCACACAAUGGCCAUCUUAUUUAUCUGCAUCCCGCCAACAAAGUCAAUUAGCCAGUACUAAAAAACCCGCAAUCAUGUUGUAGAAAUGUACCAAGAGCCGACAUGUUGUACGUGACACAAAUUUCGACUUGACCGGGGCUUCUGGUGAACAUAUUAGAACGGGCUGAUGAUAUAUUUGCACGUAAGUUAAAAGCAAGGCGAGACAAAAUAUACAGAGAAACACGUGUUAGCGUAUCUUAUAGUCUACGUUAAACUGCGUGUAAUAUCAAUGAAUCAAAUUAGGCAAAUCAGCGACAAAAUAGGUGCGGCGUAAAGCUCGCGGGUAUGUCACGUUUUACCUAGUUUAUCAGUUUUUAUAACAUUAAACCGUCCAUACGCACACACACACACACACACACCCAAAUGUACACAUGAACUAAAAGAAAAUCAGUGUGACAACUCUUCCCAUAUUCAAAAUAAGACGGCGAAACGUUACAUGUUAUGAAAAUAUUCGGCCAUAUUUUUUUUUCUAAACGAACAGUGCAGCCUCUGCUCCAGUUUCUACUGUUGCCGAUUGUGCCAAGGGUGAUCUUUUGUUUGAUAAUAGAACUAUAAAAAUUAAUAGCAACGAGCAAGCGUAGUCAAUCGACAAAGUAACCGGAAUCAGUUUAAAAUGCCUACGCUGACGAUUUCUCCCACAGCAUUUGACGAUGCGAGAAACGAGCUUACACACAUACAUAAACAUCCACAGAAAGCGCGCGUUCCUUAGUCAUUCAUACAUAAACAUAAUUACUACAUAGGCGAAUAGGUAGAAAUUAGGUGGUAACCUUCUCACGAUUGUCCAACUAACCAGCGGCAAAAAAACCACAAUACAAUAACCACAACGUCGGAAAUGGCAAGGUUCGCCAAACGACGACGGAGCUCAACGAUGCAAACAGAGAGAUGCUCGUAGGAACGUGAAUCGUACGCUGAGAAAAACUUUUACCUAUAAAAAUAGUGAACGACUGCUGUUCAUCACCACGUUGAUGUUGCAACAAACACAAAAAAGUUCGUGUUCGCAAACUAUCGCAUACGUCCGAUCCGACAAUCCGAAUAGAUCAACGGGAUUUAUUUUUUCCUAUAUACCUGUGCAAGUUGGUACGGUACAAAGCUAGCAACUAUUGCUGCUCGAGCGCUGUUUGGCAGACCAUUCCACAAGAACGCCAAAGCCGCGCCCUACGUUGGCUGUUGCAGCUGGCGGCUAUCGGAUCGCGUUGGCCGCCAACAGCAGAAGCAUAUUGGCAGUGUCUCCCUAUGUCCGUCUGCCUUUGACAACGUUUAUCGCACUGUCCAUAGCAUCGGCGUCGCAAAAGCUGAAGAGAACAGCGCUUUCUUCUACUGACAGCAACAGCGACAUUUACAACGCAGUGUUUCGUACCGCAUCCCACCCCCAGCCCUCAUCCGUGAGUUCCAUCAGUCUUUUCUCUCUCCCGAACAUUCCGAACAUUCCUAAUGGAGGAGUGGUGGCGCUGCAGUAGUAGUAGUAGUAACGGUUGUCAUAUGUAUAGUAACACCAGUACGUCUCAAAAUGUCUGAGAACACACGAAGAUAGCAAGCAGGCCAUAACAAUUCGUUCGUCGUCGUCGUUGCUACACAUGACUGUCGUCCGGCAUCUUGAUCACUUUACGUACGUUUCUCCGAAGCAACUGUACGCCGAGCGUCGACAUCGCUGUCGAGCAUCAUAUAAUUGUAUGGGAACGGCGACGGGUUAAGAUCUCGGUCUUCCGGGGUCAACGUCUGCGUCUCCGGGCAAAUAUUUGCAGAAGUAUGUAAUAUGACAUACGGUACGUAUCAAACGAACUAAUUUGAAAAGACGUCUUCA